rnacentral:rRNA from 1 species
GGGGAACCAGGACUUUUACUUUGAAAAAAUUAGAGUGUUCAAAGCAGGCAUUUGCUCGAAUACAUUAGCAUGGAAUAAUAGAAUAGGACGUGCGGUUCUAUUUUGUUGGUUUCUAGGACCGCCGUAAUGAUUAAUAGGGAUAGUCGGGGGCAUCCGUAUUCAAUUGUCAGAGGUGAAAUUCUUGGAUUUAUUGAAGACGAACUACUGCRAAAGCAUUUGCCAAGGAUGUUUUCAUUAAUCAGGAACGAAAGUUGAGGGAUCGAASACGAUCAGAUACCGUCRUAGUCUCAACCAUAAACUAUGCCGACUAGG